GAGACGUGCAAAGGACCGCUUCACGACUCCUCGGAGUCGACCUUUUGCAGCCUUCUUCUUGCCUCGUCGCAAGAACACGCUGUAGGGAAAGUCCCCGGACACAUCUUUUCGGAAGACACCACCGACGGGUGCAUGGCUAGUUAUACGGUUUCGAUUCGCUUCGAGGGACGUGGUAACGUACGGAUUGGUGGUUCAUCGUGGGCGCUUAGAUGGUCGUUGUGGUUUUCCGGAUGGAAGGCUGUCUGCGUGACUUCGAGGGAAGGGAUGAUAGCGAGAAAGGGGAUACACAAGGGAGAGCAACGGCACGACCAGAGACCACACAAUAGGAAAGCGACCGUCGCCGUAAUGGUACGAUCUUGCAAAGUGGCCGUCUUGCCUUGCCCCUCCUCGCCUCGAACUUGUUUUCAUUCUCUGCUCUCAAAGGUGCGCAUCAAAGGCAGUCUUUCUACCCGCAAACUCGAUGAUCGUUGUUUGACGCGCUUGCAAUGGUGCCUUUCUGGAGAUCGUCCUCGAGGAGCAGGACGAAAUGGUUGUCGGCAUGUCAACGCCGUUGUGUAGGUACGCUUCGUUGUCGGGUUUCUGUGUGGGUUGGUUUUGCGGCAAGGGUACGGAUUGGAGAGAAUCGGUGUUGUGGUAGGCAGGACUGGCCUCGGGCAACCCUUUCGGGAUUCAUGGUUGGGGAGGGCGAUGUUUGGGGCGUCACAUUGUCUCGAGACCAGCACGCUGUCGAUCGAUCUGCGAGGGGGAUGGAGGCGAGCAGCGAAGAUACGAGCGCUCGUCUCAUUUACGAUCCCCCUCCUCCUUCGUCAGUGUCCUAGUCUCCUGCCUUCGUGUCCUUCCCAUCAUCGUCCGUUCGCACUCGCCAUUCGCCUGGACCAGAUUCGGCCAUCCCUCAUCCCCUCUCUGAGACUGGUUCAAACCCGCAAAACCAUCAUAACCCGCUCCGGUCCGACAACUCAUCCCAUCGCACCAGCCCCAGGCGGGAGCGAUGAUGCAUCGGAUCUUGUUCGUCAUCUUCACUCAUAGUUAUGCGGUCGCCUCUUUCAAUAAAGGGGUAACUCAACGGGGCUUACUCUUGUCAUCGUCU
rnacentral:RNase_MRP_RNA from 2 species